rnacentral:rRNA from 1 species
GACGAACGCUGGCGGCGUGCCUAAUACAUGCAAGUAGAACGCACAGUUUAUACCGUAGCUUGCUACACCAUAAACUGUGAGUUGCGAACGGGUGAGUAACGCGUAGGUAACCUGCCUGGUAGCGGGGGAUAACUAUUGGAAACGAUAGCUAAUACCGCAUAAUAUUGAUUAUUGCAUGAUAAUUGAUUGAAAGAUGCUAUUGCAUCACUACCAGAUGGACCUGCGUUGUAUUAGCUAGUAGGUGAGGUAACGGCUCACCUAGGCGACGAUACAUAGCCGACCUGAGAGGGUGAUCGGCCACUCUGGGACUGAGACACGGCCCAGACUCCUACGGGAGGCAGCAGUAGGGAAUCUUCGGCAAUGGACGAAAGUCUGACCGAGCAACGCCGCGUGAGUGAAGAAGGUUUUCGGAUCGUAAAGCUCUGUUGUAAGAGAAGAACGGGUGUGAGAGUGGAAAGUUCACACUGUGACGGUAUCUUACCAGAAAGGGACGGCUAACUACGUG